UACGUAGGCAGCAAGCGUUGUUCGGAAUUACUGGGCGUAAAGAGUGUGUAGGCGGUGCUCUAAGUUCGGUGUGAAAUCUCCUGGCUUAACUGGGAGGGUGCGCCGGAAACUGGAGUGCUCGAGCGUGGGAGAGGAAAGCGGAAUUCCUGGUGUAGCGGUGAAAUGCGUAGAUAUCGGGAGGAACACCUGUGGCGAAAGCGGCGCACUGGACCACAACUGACGCUGAGGCGCGAAAGCUAGGGGAGCAAACAGG
rnacentral:rRNA from 1 species